AAAUUGAAGAGUUUGAUCAUGGCUCAGAUUGAACGCUGGCGGCAGGCCUAACACAUGCAAGUCGAACGGUAACAGAAAGCAGCUUGCUGCUUUGCUGACGAGUGGCGGACGGGUGAGUAAUGUCUGGGAAACUGCCCGAUGGAGGGGGAUAACUACUGGAAACGGUAGCUAAUACCGCAUAACGUCGCAAGACCAAAGAGGGGGACCUUAGGGCCUCUUGCCAUCGGAUGUGCCCAGAUGGGAUUAGCUAGUAGGUGGGGUAAAGGCUCACCUAGGCGACGAUCC
rnacentral:rRNA from 1 species